rnacentral:lncRNA from 1 species
AAAGAACCCUAAGCUUGCAAUCAGAAGGACCCAGUUCAAGUCCUAGUGUUUUCCUCUUGCCAGCUAUGUAAAAUUGGACUAUGCCUUAUCCUUUCUGAGUUUCAUUUUCCUUGUUAUUAAAAUAGAGGUGAUACUUCAACUUCCUACUUAAAUAGAAUCUCAGGAUCAAAGGAGUAUCUUUGUCACAAUUAAGAUUGAGCAAAAGUUCAUGUCAGCGAGGAAUUGUUCAAGCUACUAAAUUUUGCUUUAUUUCUUCCUGUGACAUUGAAAGGUUACCUGACUUGCCCAGGAUUGCACAAUGACUAUUUGGCCAAGGCGGCAGUGAAACCAUUGAAUACUGGGCAUUCCAAAUUCAG